rnacentral:rRNA from 1 species
CCUACGGGUGGCAGCAGUGAGGAAUAUUGGUCAAUGGACGAGAGUCUGAACCAGCCAAGUAGCGUGAAGGAUGACUGCCCUAUGGGUUGUAAACUUCUUUUAUAAAGGAAUAAAACGAGGCACGUGUGCCUGUUUGCAUGUACUUUAUGAAUAAGGAUCGGCUAACUCCGGGCCAGCAGCCGCGGUAAUACGGAGGAUCCGAGCGUUAUCCGGAUUUAUUGGGUUUAAAGGGAGCGUAGAUGGGGUGUUAAGUCAGUUGUGAAAGUUUGGGGCUCAACCGUAAAAUUGCAAUUGAUACUGGCAGUCUGGAGUACGGGUGAGGUAGGCGGAAUUCGGGGUGUAGCGGUGAAAUGCUUAGAUAUCACGAAGAACCCCGAUUGCGAAGGCAGCUUACUAAACUGUGACUGACAUUGAUGCUCGAAAGUGUGGGUAUCAAACAGGAUUAGAUACCCGGGUAGUC